ACUCAAAUGAAUAGACGGGGACCCGCACAAGCGGUGGAUGAUGUGGUUUAAUUCGAUGCAACGCGAAAAACCUUACCCACCUUUGACAUGUACGGAAGAUUUAAGAGAUUAGAUUGUGCUCGAAAGAGAACCGUAACACAGGUGCUGCAUGGCUGUCGUCAGCUCGUGUCGUGAGAUGUUGGGUUAAGUCCCGCAACGAGCGCAACCCUUGUCAUUAGUUGCUACAUUUAGUUGGGCACUCUAAUGAGACUGCCGGUGACAAACCGGAGGAAGGUGGGGAUGACGUCAAGUCCUCAUGGCCCUUAUAGGUGGGGCUACACACGUCAUACAAUGGCUGGUACAGAGGGUUGCCAACCCGCGAGGGGGAGCUAAUCCCAUAAAACCAGUCGUAGUCCGGAUCGCAGUCUGCAACUCGACUGCGUGAAGUCGGAAUCGCUAGUAAUCGUGGAUCAGAAUGUCACGGUGAAUACGUUCCCGGGUCUUGUACACACCGCCCGU
rnacentral:rRNA from 1 species